rnacentral:lncRNA from 1 species
CCUGUGGGAAAAGACAUAGUUUCCCACAAUAUUUUCUAGAGGGAACUCUGCCGCUAGUGUCUAUGGGAGCUGCAACACAUGGCGCUGCAGCCAGUAUGGGAAUGAUGGGUAGUACACGGAUUUGACUAAACUUUGUUCUUUCGGCCCCGUUUGGCUCCUCGCUGGCUGCAUCCGCUUUGUCGCAAAACGAUGUUCAGCAAAAGUCGGCAGUUCCACCUCACCCCUUUAACUUUUUCAGACACGCCAAUU